AUUUAUUAUUGUCGUCAACUCCUACAUAUUAUUCAAA
rnacentral:sRNA from 1 species